UUUAUGUGACAUUGUUGCUCAUUAUUCCAUUAUGACAUCGCUAUAUGUAUGAAACUUGAUCUUGGCAUAUAUAUAGUUUUACAUUCAGUUUUCUUUUAAAAAUCGGGUGUGACAGUGAAGAAGAAAACCAACAUGCCGCAGGUGAAGAAGAAAGCCAACAUGCCUCAGUGGAAGAAGAGUAAGAAGAAUGCGGAAUCGAGGUGUGCACCUGUAUCAGUAACACAGUUAAUCCAACUCCUUCAAGAUGCUGCUCGUCAGAAAAUUGUAGACCUUGAUUUCGAGAACUUACUCAAUCUGAAGUUAGGAAACACAAAUAGAGAUUUUACCACUUUCUCAUGGAUAGAGCCAAAGUUUAUGAAAAUACAGAUUAAAUUGAGAUCUACAUUAGAGAAGGUGUUUCAAUAUAGAUAACAAAGGCUGUAGUGCAAAAAUAUUUUGAGUUUCCCCCUGGUACAGAUAAGAACCUGCCAACAGAUUCAACUUUAGAAAUAUUUGACUCACUCUACAGAGUACUGAGUGUUGUAGAAGAAAAAAUUCAAUGAAAAGAAGAAGAGGAGGAAGGAGAAGAUGGAGAUGGACAUGGGGAAGGAGAAGCAGGAUCAGGUUGAGGAAAAAUUCAAUGAAAAGAUGAAGAGGAGGAAGGAGAAGCAUGUUCAGAUUGAGGAGGAAGGUAGUGAAGAGGAGAAAUGUGGAGAGGAGGAAGGUGCUGAAGAGGGGGAAAAUAGCAAGGUUUCUAUCAGAAGAAAUGUUUUGACUCCUUUGAACAUCAAUUUGAUGUUAGAGAACAUCGACAAGGAUGAGAUUCUCAAACUUCUAGUUAAAGAAAAUGAAGACACUGAUGGUACCGAACCGAGUCUUGACAUUGACCUAAUUGUCAGAUGUUUCUUUGUGGUGGUGUUGGACAGACUGUUGUUGCCACGAACCACCUUUUAUCUGAGCUCAGGUACAUUGGAAGCAGUGACUGAUCUAGACAAACUGAAAACAGUUGACUGGUCACAUUUGAUUUUCGAAAAUUGAAGAGCAGUGUUGCUGAGUAUCCCAAGGAUAAGACGAAACUGAUAUCAGGGUGUACAACUGUGCUAAUGGUUGUUUUCUUAGACCAUCUCAUGGAAAACCCUUUGGAUCCUUAGACCAUCCCUAGGAUCAACUUGUAUACUUCAGAUUUAAUCGCGGACCUGAUAAUGGUACCCAAGGAUAGCCCUAGCCCUGAAAAGAAGCGUCGUAAGACUCAAAAGAUGAAAAAGAAGACUAGUAGUGUUAUGAAGGAUCUCGCUACUCUCAAUUUUAAGAAUUUGGAGGAUACAUGCUAUCAUGCAGAUUCAGAAAGGGUGCCAAGUUUAGGGAGAGCAUCGCCGGUUGUUGCUUCUGUACAAUCUCAUAAGAACUUUGUUGAUCAUGAAGAUUCAGAAAUGGUGCAAUCUCAUGAGAACUCUGUUGAUCUACAAAGUGUUUACACGGCACAUGUAUUGGAAAGAACCAGAGAAAGCAUAGUAGUGGACAUAUUGGACUACAGUAUACCUGAAUAUACUUUUGCAGAUUGUUUGCAACCUGUAGGUCAUAUGCACACAGAUGUAUUUUAUUUACAAUGCAAACUGUUGUCAAAGGAUUGGAAGGAUAAAGUAAUUCUUUGCUGGAAAUCUACUGUAAGUGUAUCCAAAAACUUGGCUUGGAGACUUUUUUUAUGUUAUUAUUAUUUAUAUUU